AUGGCUAAUUCCGGAGUGACACAACUGGUCGGCUUCCGGUUCCGCCCCACGGACCAAGAAAUUAUCGGCUUCUUUCUCUACAAGAUGGUGGUGGAGAAAAGGCCUCUGACUUCGAUGCCGCCAUACAACAAGGUUAUCCACAAGUGCAACCUCUUCGGCAAAAAACGAGAACCCUCAGAAAUUUGGAGAGAUUACGGAGGAGAUCAACUUAAGGAUCAAGACUUGUACUUCUUUUCUGAGCUCCAGAGAAAUGGUUUACGCAUCCAACGCAAGACUGGCCGCGGUACUUGGAGCGAAACCGUAACCUACCAAAAUGUUAAGGAGGAGGUGGAUGAGAUUAAUGGAAAAUCUAAUCUUGAUGUUAUAGGGAGAAAACGGAAAUUCCGGUAUGAGAACGGCAGUACUUCGGAGGACCACGCGGGCUGGCUUUUGGAUGAAUAUAGCCUUUUCAAAAAGGCUUGCAAGAAUGGCACAAGUAGUAAUUGCUAUGAUUUUGACGUUGUGAUUUGUCGGCUGAGAAGGAAGGGCAAUAUGGACAAGUCCGGGAAAAAGAGGAAGUGCUGUUCUCAAGAUCAAUCAAACAAGAAGAUGAAAAGAGAUCAAUCUACAAAGGAGAUGAAAACUGAAAAUUCAGUGGGGCCGCAGAUUAUGAAUG
rnacentral:lncRNA from 1 species